rnacentral:rRNA from 1 species
AAACCGUUCAGGGGUAAACCUGAGAAACCCGAAAGAUCGAAUGGGGAGAUUCAGCGUCAGCGGCGUUGGCUCGGCGGGGUGGACGAUGCGGCGAACUACGGUAUCGCGCAUGUACCACUUUGCCGUGUCCGACGUCGUCGUCGUGCACUUCUCCCCUAGUAGAACGUCGCGACCCGUUGGGUGCCGGUCUACGGCUCGAGGUGUUGAGACUGCCGCGUCGCUUCGGCGCACGUGGCAGACCCUCGAUCGCCCUGCCGGCUGCCCGGCGGUAAAACGCACGGUAUCUAGCCGCCAUUUUCGAAUUGCGUCGGGCCCGUCGCAAGCGAGGCCAGUGUCCCGGAGGUACGGACUUAGUGCCGUCCCCGAGCCUGGCCAGCUGUUUGCAGGCGGAGUCCUCCGACAGGCAGAACAUUAUGGUACCGGUCGGCGACGCUACUGCUUUGGGUACUCUCAGGACCCGUCUUGAAACACGGACCAAGGAGUCUAACAUGUGCGCGAGUCAUUGGGAUUGUAAAACCUAAAGGCGCAAUGAAAGUGAAGGUCGGCUUCGCGUCGACCGAGGGAGGAUGGGCGGCGCUACGACGCCGCUCCGCACUCCCGGGGCGUCUCGUUCUCAUUGCGAGAAGAGGCGCACCCAGAGCGUACACGUUGGGACCCGAAAGAUGGUGAACUAUGCCUGGUCAGGACGAAGUCAGGGGAAACCCUGAUGGAGGUCCGUAGCGAUUCUGACGUGCAAAUCGAUCGUCGGAACUGGGUAUAGGGGCGAAAGACUAAUCGA